rnacentral:snRNA from 1 species
UCAUCAAACCAAUUGACUCAU